AACACUAAGCAGUUCAAAGAAUUUAACUGCUACGAGAACUGUUUCAAUUCAAAAACCAUCUGUUUUAAAGGAGAAAAGCAAGUUGUCCUCUGGCCAACCUUCAAAAAAUGCUAAGAAUGUGACCAAUGUUGCUGCAAAGAAUAUAACGUCUAUUGGAAUUGCACAAGAAAAUCAAGCUAUUAAAAGGCAAAAGCUGGAUGAUGGAAGAUCCAAACAGAUACACAAUUUGAAAAAUAGAGUUCUACUCCAUAAGUCGAGAUUGGGUUUAGCUAGU